rnacentral:rRNA from 1 species
GCCCGGGCGCAGCUACCAUGCAGUCGAGCGGUAACAGAUCCAGCUUGCUGGAUGCUGACGAGCGGCGGACGGGUGAGUAAUGCAUAGGAAUCUGCCCGAUAGUGGGGGAUAACCUGGGGAAACCCAGGCUAAUACCGCAUACGUCCUACGGGAGAAAGGGGGCUUCGGCUCCCGCUAUCGGAUGAGCCUAUGUCGGAUUAGCUAGUUGGUGAGGUAACGGCUCACCAAGGCCACGAUCCGUAGCUGGUCUGAGAGGAUGAUCAGCCACAUCGGGACUGAGACACGGCCCGAACUCCUACGGGAGGCAGCAGUGGGGAAUAUUGGACAAUGGGGGGAACCCUGAUCCAGCCAUGCCGCGUGUGUGAAGAAGGCCCUCGGGUUGUAAAGCACUUUCAGCGAGGAAGAACGCCUAGCGGUUAAUACCCGCUAGGAAAGACAUCACUCGCAGAAGAAGCACCGGCUAACUCCGUGCCAGCAGCCGCGGUAAUACGGAGGGUGCAAGCGUUAAUCGGAAUUACUGGGCGUAAAGCGCGCGUAGGUGGCUUGAUAAGCCGGUUGUGAAAGCCCCGGGCUCAACCUGGGAACGGCAUCCGGAACUGUCAAGCUAGAGUGCAGGAGAGGAAGGUAGAAUUCCCGGUGUAGCGGUGAAAUGCGUAGAGAUCGGGAGGAAUACCAGUGGCGAAGGCGGCCUUCUGGACUGACACUGACACUGAGGUGCGAAAGCGUGGGUAGCAAACAGGAUUAGAUACCCUGGUAGUCA